AUUGAACGCUAGCGGCAUGCCUAACACAUGCAAGUCGAACGGAGCGGCGAACGGGUGAGUAAUGUCUAGGAACGUGCCCGGUAGCGGGGGAUAACUACGGGAAAGCGUAGCUAAUACCGCAUACUAUUGGAGCGGCCUAUGUCGGAUUAGCUAGUUGGUGGGGUAAAGGCUCACCAAGGCGACGAUCCGUAGCUGGUUUGAGAGGAUGACCAGCCACACUGGAACUGAGAAACGGCCCAGACUCCUACGGGAGGCAGCAGUGGGGAAUAUUGGACAAUGGGGGAAAGCCUGAUCCAGCCAUGCCGCGUGUGCGAUGAAGGUUUUCGGAUCGUAAAGCACUGUUGUUAGGGAAGCGGUAUCUGAAGAAAAAGCCACGGCUAACUACGUGCCAGCAGCCGCGGUAAUUC
rnacentral:rRNA from 1 species